rnacentral:rRNA from 1 species
GACAAACGCUGGCGGCGUACCUAAGACAUGCAAGUCGAACGGAUCACGGCCCUUCGGGGACGUGGUGAGUGGCGAACGGGUGAGUAACACGUAGGAACCUAUCGCACAGUGGGGGAUAACGCGGGGAAACCGGCGCUAAUACCGCAUGUGGUCCCGAUGAGGGAAGAAAGCAGCAAUGCGCUGUGUGAGGGGCCUGCGGCCGAUUAGCUGGUUGGUGGGGUAAGAGCCUACCAAGGCGACGAUCGGUAGCUGGUCUGAGAGGAUGGUCAGCCACACU